CACUGUCGUCGGAAAAGAAAGCCUGUUUUGAGCUUGUUGAUCCUCGUGUUUCCCAACUUUGUGAGAAUGUGAAUCUUUGACAAGGGUGUUAUUUGAUAAUAAAGUGGGAGACCUCGCCCGAGCGAACACUCUUGAACAUAAUUAGCACUACUAUCUGUUAACGUUAUAAGUUAGUAAAUAUUCUGCGUGGAUUCGGAGGCGGGGCAUCGCCCCUCUUUUUUGGAACCAAGCCCGCUCCGCGCUCUCGCAUUGUCAGGUGGGUGAGUUUGCUUGGGCGGCACAUCUGUUGGGUACUCAAAGAAGUGUAUACCUUUGGAACGACAGGUUGUCCUAAGAUGAGCUCACGAGAACCAGAAAUCUCGUGUGGAACACAAAAAGCGGAUGUGAACAACGCUCACGAUUUGAAUUUCGUGAUUUAUCCUCUAUAACGGUCAAGUAGUCGGAACGGCAUGAAAGCUUCACAUGCAAGAUGGCGUGACCGUAAUGAAUCUCACUUUAGACCUUCAGAAUUUGAAGUAGAGGUGUCAGACAAAAGUUACCACAGGAUAACUGGCUUGUGGCAGCAAGCGUUCAAGCGACGUUUGGGCUUUUAUGAUCCUUCGAAAUGGUCGGGACUCACUUGCCUAUCAUUGUUGAGCCAAGAUUUCCAAGCCAGAUUGUUGGACUUUGAUCUCACCCAACCAAUAGGAACGUUGAGCUGGGAUUUGAACAAGUUAAGGCCGGUCGCGUUGAAGACAGUUGUCUAGUUGCAUGUAGUUUAUACCCGUUACUGAUGACAGUGAUUAUUGUGCGCGAAUAGGUUAUGAUCGAACACCUAAAUUUAACCUUUAAGAUACAGUGGAGAAGGAGAUCCCAUGAAUGAUGUCGAGUCAAAAAUUGGGUACUAUCAAUGCGCUUUGUAUUGAAAAAGCAUGCACUAAGCACAUGGGCUAGUGGUUGCGCGAAGCUACCGGCGCUGGAUUAUGACUGAACGCUCUAACGUCAGAUCCGGGCUAGAAGCGACGGCCUGCGCCGCGCCGAUUGCGACCUGAGUAGGGGCCCGGCCCCCAAGGCUCAUGUCGAUGGCCUGGCCCUCCGGCGACGAGCCGCGGUGGCCGCCUUGAAUCGUAAUUCCCACCGAGCGGCGGGUAGAAACCUUUGCAGACGACUUAAAUACGCGACGGGGUAAUGUAAGUGGCAGAGUGGCCUUGCUGCCACGAUCCACUGAGAUUUCAGCUGGUCGCUUCGAUUC
rnacentral:rRNA from 1 species